GCUGCAAAUUCCUUAUGCGACAAAAUCAGACUCCAUGUCUGAUAGGUAUAUAUCCAAGAUAUGCACAACGAUAACAAAGAAACAGGUAUAUAUAAUAUAUUUGAAAGAUUUGAUCGAUGUAUAAGCUUGCCUCUGGAUCGAUCUUACUUUUUCUCCUCUCUACUCCUGCUAAAUUUCCUUCUAUAAUCAAGUACUGUUGCUUUUGUCAAUAGCAGCAGAAGCCUUGUUGGCAUGCUUGUUGGUGUAAAGAACAAGGCUUAAACUUGUGGGAUGUUUAACAUCAUCGGAGAUAUCUCGCUUCUGAAUCUGCAGAGGAAGGGCAGAUUUCUGAGCAGUAUCUACACGAACGGAUUGUGGACGAGGGUAGAAGUAAUCAGUAGGGAAAAAGUAGUAUUGUUGAAGGCCAGCCAUGGAAGCUCUCUGAAGGUGAAGUGUUGGGCGUACAAGAUUAAGAAUAAAGAAAAAUUAGUUUCAAGAACAAGAACUAAACCAAGAAAGCUGUAUAUGGAGGUUUCUUAUGCAGCUUUCUUGGUUGGAGGGAUAGUGGUUUGCUACUCUACGUUUAUAUAGAGAAGGGAAGAGACGGCUU
rnacentral:misc_RNA from 1 species